GCUGGGCAUGGUGACACAUGCCUGUAAUCCCAGCUACUGGGGAGGCUGAGGCAGGAGCAUUGCUUGAGCCCAGGAGGUCAAGGCUGCAGUGAGAUGUGAUGGUGCCACUGCAUUCCAGCCUGGGCGACAGAGUCAGACACUGCCUCAA
ensembl:misc_RNA Metazoa_SRP Metazoan signal recognition particle RNA